UGGGGAAUCUUCCGCAAUGGACGAAAGUCUGACGGAGCAACGCCGCGUGAGUGAAGACGGCCUUCGGGUUGUAAAGCUCUGUGAUCCGGGACGAAAGAGCCUGAGGUAAAUAGCCUAAGGAAGUGACGGUACCGGAAAAGCAAGCCACGGCUAACUACGUGCCAGCAGCCGCGGUAAUACGUAGGUGGCAAGCGUUGUCCGGAAUUAUUGGGCGUAAAGCGCGCGCAGGCGGCUUACUAAGUCCAUCUUAAAAGGGCGGGGCUUAACCCCGUGAUGGGAUGGAAACUGGAAAGCUGGAGUAUCGGAGAGGAAAGUGGAAUUCCUAGUGUAGCGGUGAAAUGCGUAGAGAUUAGGAAGAACACCGGUGGCGAAGGCGACUUUCUGGACGAAAACUGACGCUGAGGCGCGAAAGCGUGGGGAGCAAACAGG
rnacentral:rRNA from 1 species